rnacentral:rRNA from 1 species
GACGAACGCUGGCGGCGUGCUUAACACAUGCAAGUCGAACGGUAAGGCCCUUCGGGGUACACGAGUGGCGAACGGGUGAGUAACACGUGGGUGAUCUGCCCUGCACUUUGGGAUAAGCCUGGGAAACUGGGUCUAAUACCGGAUAGGACCAUGGCAUGCAUGUGCUGUGGUGGAAAGCUUUUGCGGUGUGGGAUGGGCCCGCGGCCUAUCAGCUUGUUGGUGGGGUGAUGGCCUACCAAGGCGACGACGGGUAGCCGGCCUGAGAGGGUGUCCGGCCACACUGGGACUGAGAUACGGCCCAGACUCCUACGGGAGGCAGCAGUGGGGAAUAUUGCACAAUGGGCGCAAGCCUGAUGCAGCGACGCCGCGUGGGGGAUGACGGCCUUCGGGUUGUAAACCUCUUUCAAUAGGGACGAAGCGCAAGUGACGGUACCUAUAGAAGAAGCGCCGGCCAACUACGUGCCAGCCGCCGCUGUAA